AGUCCGUGAUGAGGGCAUCUCCUCAAAAGAUCCUUGUAUCUCUCUCAGGCAUCGUAAAGUGUUUCUAAAUCCAUCUGCACAAAGGAAGAAAUAUCGUUUUGUAAUU
rfam:Gossypium hirsutum cultivar TM-1 chromosome 11, whole genome shotgun sequence